AUAAUUUAUCCCAGCUCCAGCUCUCCAGAAGAGAAAUGCGCGUCCCCUGCUGUUGUGUCUGCACUGCUGUGAUUGACUUGAGGAGAAAUGGAGUGGAGUCCGUCGCACUGACACCAUCAAAGCGCCAUAUUUAAUGGAUCGCACCCAAGAGGGCUGGAGAGGUGCUGGAGUUUUUAAGACAGGGUACGAUCUGGAGAGGUUGCCCAUCUAUUGCAGAGAUGUCACAGUCACACCUAUGGACAGGUUAAACCAAACGCAUCACUGAUACUCUGCUCGGGCACACUUGCUCUCCUGCCAGCAGUACUGUGACUUCAAGGACAAACAACAUUAUUGGCGAUAGGACCAGAUCAUCUGUCAGCUGCUAGCUGGAAAGAACUGCUGGUGCCACAAACCUCGUGAAAGCUGAGUGAUUUUCCCUCAAACUGCAAAAACAUGUCAUUCAAUAUAGUACUGGACCUUAGAUUUGACAUCUACUUAAAAUCAAAGGAAUUUUAACCAUUUCUUUAUCAGUGUCCCCAGUUUGAAGAAGCUUGUUGUGCUAAGUGAUACCAUUCCCACAUCCCCCAAUGUUACAAGACUUGCAUGGAAAUCUAAAUCGGUAUCAUCUAAAUUUUUAUCAGUAGCUGACAAUUAUAAGCAGUGGAGGAAUUUUAUAGAACUAUUCCAUCAGUAGAUGUAUUAAUAAAACACCUCUCGGAUAAGAGGUGAAACUUCUGAAAUUAAUUAAUUUAAAAGAUACAUAUACUUCUAAAUGGUUGAUUAAAUUUUAUGUCAUCAGUGGCAUCACUGGUUUGUUUGUUAGAGUAUAGUUUUAAAUCUGGCUGGUGUCUGAUUACACUUAGUGUGCUGCUAAAUUAUAGUACAGCAAACUGAAAUUAUAAAGCUCUUGUGCUCAUUUUCUGCAAAUAAUUACUGGCAUUUUAUGCCACGGUCAGGAUGAAGCCCUGCAAGACCUGGUAAAUCAUAAGAGAGGAGGGAUUAAACGAGUGACCCACGAGGGACAAAUUACACGUUAUUCAUCACUCUGCUUUUAUUCAACUCUAGAAUGUGUUCAUCUUCACCCCGCGGGGGUCGAGAGGACUCUGUUGCUUUAGAUGCAGGUUAGCACGGGGAUGUGUUUAAGGGUCAGGGCAAGUUUGGCCAUGCUGUCUCUCUCCAUCUUUCUCAUGGCGAACAUCCUAACAUCCGCCCCCAUCUGCAUAUUCCCAGAGUGACAAAACUAGUUAGCUGAGUAAUAAAUCAAAGCUCGGCUGCCCAAUUUGGUUUCCUAAUGUAAUUAAUAAGUGCUAAAAGCAUUUAACCAGCUGUAAUUUGCGGAUGCCACUUUGAAGUAACUAUUUAAGGAAAACUUUGUGUGAACAGGAAGGAAAAAUAUUAGGUUGCCAAGAGAUAGGAACGCAAAAAGCUGUAUGUAAUAAUGCAGAACUCUGACAGCUGAAAACUGCUAAAAAAAAAAAAGAAAAGAAAAGAAAAAACUACUUCUAGAUCUGUUAAUAUUUGUCUGAUCAUUUGGGGGAAAUAAAGGAUUAUCUUAUUAUAAUCAGUUAUUGUUUAACAUUUUUUUCCAGUGAUUUGCCCACUGGAUCAGAUUUUAAGAUUCAUAACCUUGUUGUACAUACAGUGUUGUGUAUCAUAUUUUGACCUCAUAAUCCAGAUUAUGAUUUGAAAGUGCCUUUACUGAUUCUGACAUUUUAUUAAAUGCUUUGCUUAUGAUCUAUUAUUCUCAGUACAACCAGAAACUCCACUCCUGCCUAUCAGAAAGAUUGACUCCCUCAGAAAGGAUCUAUCAAUUAAAUCUCUUUUACAUUGAAACCAAUCCUUGCAGUCACUUCCAGACUUGCUUAAUCCCCAUCUUUACUUUCUCUUAGCAGCAAACCACUGAGAGGAUGCUACAGACAGAAGUGAGCAGAGUGAGGAAGCAGAGAGGGGUGAUUUGCCGAAGAGCAGAGCUUGUCAUGAGUGGAUUUAUGGCUAGGGAGACAGUGGCGGGAGGUGGGCGAAUUGAUGGGUGACACAUAAUCAGCCUCCUUAUCGCAGCCCCGCAAAACUGGAUUGCAUCCAGAGGCUUGUGAUCCGUCCGGAUUUGGCUAAUGUCUCCCACUCCUGUCCUGAGCCCCGACAGCUCUCCGUUAUCAGGGUCUGGCCUGCGCUUGCUUUCCUUUCCCCUGACUGCUAUUCCUCCACCCCUCCAUCUUCAGCCUCCUCCAUGUUGCCUGUAUCUUGACAGUGUCAGGUGAAGAGGAAACUAAGGAUUUGCUGCUGUUCUUGGGCUCACCAUCCAGUUUCAUGAACAAAUUUCAGCCAAGUUUUAGCUGCUGGACAGACUGGAGUUCAUGGCCGAAUUAAAGACUGCAAGUUGUCCAAGUCCUCUGGCUGCAAAACAAACCCAAAUCAUCACCCUUCGACCAUCCUGCUUGAUGCUUGGUAUGAGGUGUUUGUGUUAAUAUGCUGUAUUUGGUUUAUGCCAAACAGGUGCUGUACAUUAUGGUCAAAUAUCUGCACUUUAGUCCAAAAGGGAUUGUUCUAGAAGUCUUGGGGUUUGUUCAGAUGCAACUUUGCAAAUGUAAGCUGUGCUGCCACGUUCUUUUAAGAGGGAAGAAGCUUUCUCUUGGGGAUCCUUCCAAACAAGCCACAACUGGUCGUCGUUUUCUAACUGUAAUGUUAUGAUCUACUGUACUGUACUCUUUCAGUUUUUCACUUCUAUAGUUAAUCAAGUGGAUUUACCAACAGAGACAAAUAAAAUAAUAGCAGGCUGCAAAAUUAGAAAUGAUCUGUCCAUACUGUGUUACAAAUAUCUGAUAGAUUUAGCUCUA